rnacentral:rRNA from 1 species
CCUACGGGGUGCAGCAGUGAGGAAUAUUGGUCAAUGGACGAGAGUCUGAACCAGCCAAGUAGCGUGAAGGAUGACUGCCCUAUGGGUUGUAAACUUCUUUUAUAUGGGAAUAAAAUGUUCCACGUGUGGGAUUUUGUAUGUACCAUAUGAAUAAGGAUCGGCUAACUCCGUGCCAGCAGCCGCGGUAAUACGGAGGAUCCGAGCGUUAUCCGGAUUUAUUGGGUUUAAAGGGAGCGUAGGUGGAUUGUUAAGUCAGUUGUGAAAGUUUGCGGCUCAACCGUAAAAUUGCAGUUGAAACUGGCAGUCUUGAGUACAGUAGAGGUGGGCGGAAUUCGUGGUGUAGCGGUGAAAUGCCUAGAUAUCACGAAGAACUCCGAUUGCGAAGGCAGUUCACUGGACUGCAACUGACACUGAGGCUCGAAAGUGUGGGUAUCAAACAGGAUUAGAUACCCGUGUAGUC